CCAGUAAACGGCGGCCGUAACUAUAACGGUCCUAAGGUAGCGAAAUUCCUUGUCGGGUAAGUUCCGACCUGCACGAAUGGCGUAAUGAUGGCCAGGCUGUCUCCACCCGAGACUCAGUGAAAUUGAACUCGCUGUGAAGAUGCAGUGUACCCGCGGCAAGACGGAAAGACCCCGUGAACCUUUACUAUAGCUUGACACUGAACAUUGAGCCUUGAUGUGUAGGAUAGGUGGGAGGCUUUGAAGUGUGGACGCCAGUCUGCAUGGAGCCAACCUUGAAAUACCACCCUUUAACGUUUGAUGUUCUAACCUAGGCCCAUAAACUGGGUCGGGGACCGUGUCUGGUGGGUAGUUUGACUGGGGCGGUCUCCUCCUAAAGAGUAACGGAGGAGCACGAAGGUUGGCUAAGCAUGGUCGGACAUCAUGCGGUUAGUGCAAAGGCAUAAGCCAGCUUGACUGCGAGAGUGACGGCUCGAGCAGGUACGAAAGUAGGUCUUAGUGAUCCGGUGGUUCUGAAUGGAAGGGCCAUCGCUCAACGGAUAAAAGGUACUCCGGGGAUAACAGGCUGAUACCGCCCAAGAGUUCAUAUCGACGGCGGUGUUUGGCACCUCGAUGUCGGCUCAUCACAUCCUGGGGCUGAAGUAGGUCCCAAGGGUAUGGCUGUUCGCCAUUUAAAGUGGUACGCGAGCUGGGUUUAGAACGUCGUGAGACAGUUCGGUCCCUAUCUGCCGUGGGCGUUGGAAGAUUGAGAGGGGUUGCUCCUAGUACGAGAGGACCGGAGUGAACGCACCACUGGUGUUCGGGUUGUCAUGCCAAUGGCAUUGCCCGGUAGCUAAGUGCGGAAGAGAUAACCGCUGAAAGCAUCUAAGCGGGAAACUUGCC
rnacentral:rRNA from 1 species